UUAAUUUCUCUAAAAUAACUGUGUCAGAUCCUCUCAAUCGCUCGAUAUGUCUCAGUAUUAUAUGAUUUGAUUCAAUUCAUCAAUCAACGAUCAAUGGAAUCGCUCUCCUUUCACGAUGGCAACAUCACCCACUUCAUUGAUGCUCGAAGUCUACACGUUCGCUCCGAUAUAAAUCACAGUCUACAAUUGCAUUCGUCAUUCAUUAGAAGGCUUUCUUUGGAAAGAGAACUGGAGGCACAUCAGGGAUGUGUAAACACUAUUGCAUGGAACUCAAAAGGCUCACUGUUGAUAUCUGGAUCUGACGACACUCGUGUCAAUCUUUGGAGUUAUCAUAGCCGCAAACUUUUGCAUUCCAUUGACAGCGGUCAUACUGCAAAUAUAUUUUGUACUAAAUUUGUUCCUGAAACAUCUGAUGAGUUGGUUGUAUCUGCAGCUGCUGAUUCUGAAGUUCGACUUUUCAAUUUGUCUCGCUUGGAAGGGAGAGGUGUUGAAGAUAGCGCUAUUAACCCAUCAGCACUGUUUCAAUGCCACACCAGGAGAAUUAAAAAAUUAGCUGUAGAACCUGGGAAUCCCAAUGUGGUCUGGAGUGCUAGUGAGGAUGCGACUUUGAGACAACAUGAUUUCCGGGAGACCACUGCUUGUCCAGCUGCUGAAUCUACUCACCGCGAAUGUCGCAAUGUAUUACUUGACUUGCGAUGUGGAGCAAAGAAGUCAUUAGCCGAUCCUCCUAAACAGCCACUCGUGCUGAAGUCUUGUGACAUUAGCCCGACGAGGCCUCAUUUGCUCCUUGUUGGUGGGAGUGAUGCAUUUGCUCGCUUAUAUGAUAGACGGAUGCUUCCACCACUUUCUUCCUGCCGGCAAAAGUUGCCACCACCUCCAUGUGUUAACUACUUCUGCCCAUUGCAUCUUUCUGAUCAUGGGCGGCAAGGUUUGCACCUAACUCAUGUUACAUUUAGUCCAAAUGGAGAAGAGCUUCUUCUCAAUUAUAGUGGAGAACAUGUGUACUUAAUGGACGUAAAUCCUGUUCAUGCAAAUGCUAUGCGGUACACAUCAGAUGAUGCAAUGAAGUUUUUCAAUCCAACCGUCAUACUGAAGGAGGUGCAAUCUAAACAAUCAGUCUCCGAUUUCUUCUCAAAUCGUUUUCCUGCAAAGAGGAACCUUGCUGCCCGGCUUGACCAAUGCCGAAAACUGCUUCAAAUUGCAGAGAAGUCCUUAAAAGAGGGAGCCAACUAUUAUUAUGGCAUUGAGGCUUGCAAUGAUGUUUUGCAUGGUUAUGGUCAGAUUGGACACACUCUAAUGCAUGAAUGUUUGUGUUUACGGGCAGCUCUGCUCCUCAAGCGGGAUUGGAAACAUGAUGAUCUUAUGGCUGUAAGAGAUUGCUAUAGGGCUGUGAAAAUUGAUCCUACUUCAUUUAGGGCCCUGCACUGUAUGGCUGAAGCUCUAUUGCAGUUGGGUAAACACAAAGAAGCUUUGGAGUUCGCCAUUGCUGCUCAGUUUUCAGCUCCGUCUAAUCCUGAAGCUGCUGAGAUGGUGGAGAACAUAAGAAAAUGUAUAGAUACAGUUGAAGCCGAAGUCUCUAACAAGGCAAAGGAAGGAACCCCUAGUUCUGAAACACGAGCUGGUAGAGUAUUAUCUCUAAGUGACAUACUUUAUCGGUCGGAUGCAAGCAGUGAUACUUCACAACCUAUAUCUGGAAGAGAGGACUCUGAUUAUGAGGAGGAGUUGGAAGUCGAUUUUGAAACUUCAAUAUCAGGUGACGAAGCCCAUGAAGUUGAAUCUAGUAACAAUUUCCAGCGAAGUUUAAAUGUCAGAAUCCAUAGAAAAGGUGAUUCAACGAUAAAUACUUGCCAUACAAGUAGCUCCUGUGGAUCCCCGAAAUCAUCUCCUCGAAGUGAUAGAAUUACUCGUCAGCAUGAGAGAGCAAUAGAUAUGAAGCAAAGAUAUGUUGGUCAUUGCAAUGUUGGGACCGACAUUAAACAAGCCAGCUUUCUCGGCCAAAAAGGUGAGUACAUUGCUAGUGGAAGUGAUGAUGGUAGAUGGUUUAUUUGGGAGAAGAGCACUGGUAGACUUAUAAAAAUGCUUAUGGGAGAUGGGGCUGUUGUGAACUGUGUGCAGAGUCAUCCAUUUGAUUGCGUCGUAGCUACUAGUGGGAUAGAUAAUACCAUUAAGAUUUGGACCCCGCUUGCUUCAAUUCCAUCUGUCAUUGCCGGGGGAACAGCCGGACCAGAGACUGCUAAUAUCUUAGAUACAAUGGAAGGCAAUCAACGCAGAUUAUCCCAUAACCGUGAAUCAUUACUAUACUUUUUUUUGCAGACCGUUUGAGAUACUAGAAGGGUUCCGGAUGCAUGAGUUUCCUGAAGGAUCAUUGCGCCCGUUUGAAUGUAUACAGAGCUAGUUUUUCUGAGCCUCAAGAGGGAUCGGCCUUCAGUUUGAUAUAUUGCGGAUAUGGAGUCAACCACUUGCUUUCAAGUGGAGGGAGCAUAAGUUUUUGUUUCAUCUUUUGCGUAUUAUCGAGAUUUUUCACGUUUGUGUAACUAUUACUAUUACUAUUACUAUUACUAUUACUUUUUGUGUUGAUACACACACUAUAAAUAUCAAACUUAUAUGUACAGUUUAUACUUGAAAACUGGUUGAUUAAAUAAAUAGCUUGUACACAAAAAAAGUUGGUUAA